rnacentral:misc_RNA from 1 species
CGCCAUUGCUUCUUCCCUUUCUUUUGAUGUAAUUUGAAUGGACUCCAGCUCUUUCUGCGUGCAGAAGUCUCACAAAAGAGCCCAGAAGCCAAGGCCUGCUGAAGCCACAGCUCAAAUUCUUCUUCAUUCUCAUCCAUCAUCUCAGCAUCCAAAUCCCAAGGGAAUCUGCUUGACUUGCAACGUCGUGGCUUCUCCAAACCAACCAUGUUUACAUGGAAGCUAGGCCUAUG